rnacentral:rRNA from 1 species
CCUACGGGCGGCAGCAGUGAGGAAUAUUGGUCAAUGGACGGAAGUCUGAACCAGCCAUGCCGCGUGCAGGAAGACGGCUCUAUGAGUUGUAAACUGCUUUUGUACAAGGGUAAACCUGAAUACGUGUAUUCAGCUGAAAGUACUGUACGAAUAAGGAUCGGCUAACUCCGUGCCAGCAGCCGCGGUAAUACGGAGGAUCCAAGCGUUAUCCGGAUUUAUUGGGUUUAACGGGUGCGUAGGCGGAUUGAUAAGUUAGAGGUGAAAUGUCCGAGCUUAACUCGGGAACUGCCUCUAAUACUGGGGAUCUAGAGAGUAGAUGCGGGAGGCGGAAUGUAUGGUGUAGCGGUGAAAUGCUUAGAGAUCAUACAGAACACCGAUUGCGAAGGCAGCUUACCAAUCUAUAUCUGACGUUGAGGCACGAAAGCGUGGGGAGCAAACAGGAUUAGAUACCCCUGUAGUC